rnacentral:rRNA from 1 species
UACGUAGGGGGCGAGCGUUGUCCGAAGUUACUGGGCGUAAAGCGCGCGUAGGCGGCCUUUUAAGUCUGGUGUGAAAGGUUCAGGGCUCAACCCGAACAGUGCACUGGAUACUGGAAGGCUUGAGAUCGGGAGAGGAGAGUGGAAUUCCUGGUGUAGCGGUGAAAUGCGUAGAUAUCAGGAGGAACACCGAUGGCGAAGGCAGCUCUCUGGCCCGAUACUGACGCUGAGGUGCGAAAGCUAGGGGAGCAAACAGG